AGUGAACGCUGGCGGUAGGCCUAACACAUGCAAGUCGAACGGCAGCACAGUAAGAGCUUGCUCUUACGGGUGGCGAGUGGCGGACGGGUGAGGAAUACAUCGGAAUCUACUUUUUCGUGGGGGAUAACGUAGGGAAACUUACGCUAAUACCGCAUACGACCUACGGGUGAAAGCAGGGGAUCUUCGGACCUUGCGCGAUUGAAUGAGCCGAUGUCGGAUUAGCUAGUUGGCGGGGUAAAGGCCCACCAAGGCGACGAUCCGUAGCUGGUCUGAGAGGAUGGUCGGCCACACUGGAACGGGGACACGGUCCAGACUCCUACGGGAGGCAGCAGUGGGGAAUAUUGGACAAUGGGCGCAAGCCUGAUCCAGCCAUACCGCGUGGGUGAAGAAGGCCUUCGGGUUGUAAAGCCCUUUUGUUGGGAAAGAAAAGCAGCAGGUUAAUACCCCGCUGUUCUGACGGUACCCAAAGAAUAAGCACCGGCUAACUUCGUG
rnacentral:rRNA from 1 species